rnacentral:rRNA from 1 species
AGUGAACGCUGGCGGUAGGCCUAACACAUGCAAGUCGAACGGCAGCACAGUAAGAGCUUGCUCUUACGGGUGGCGAGUGGCGGACGGGUGAGGAAUACAUCGGAAUCUACUUUUUCGUGGGGGAUAACGUAGGGAAACUUACGCUAAUACCUCAUACGACCUACGGGUGAAAGCAGGGGAUCUUCGGACCUUGCGCGAUUGAAUGAGCCGAUGUCGGAUUAGCUAGUUGGCGGGGUAAAGGCCCACCAAGGCGACGAUCCGUAGCUGGUCUGAGAGGAUGAUCAGCCACACUGGAACUGAGACACGGUCCAGACUCCUACGGGAGGCAGCAGUGGGGAGUAUUGGACAAUGGGCGCAAGCCUGAUCCAGCCAUACCGCGUGGGUGAAGAAGGCCUUCGGGUUGUAAAGCCCUUUUGUUGGGAAAGAAAAGCAGCAGGAUAAUCCCCCGAUGUUCUGACGGUACCCAAAGAAUAAGCACCGGCUAACUUCGUG